rnacentral:SRP_RNA from 1 species
GCUGGGUGGUGCCCGCCUGUAAUCAAGCUAGCGGGAGGCUGAGGCUGGCAGAGCGUUUGAGCUCAGGAGCUCUGAGCUGCUCUGGACUAUACCGACCAGGUGUCCGCACUAAGUUCGGUACCGGUAUGGUGCUCCUAGAGGAGCCCGGGACCAGCAGGUGGUGUAAGGAGGGGAGCACCGGCCCAGGUGGGAAACGGAGCAGGUAACAGCCCCCAUGGCGCUCAGUAGUGGGAUGGCGCCUGUGAAUAGACGCUGCAGCGCAGCCUGAGGAACACAGCGGGACUCAGAGUUUU